rnacentral:tRNA from 1 species
UAAAAGAUAGACUAACUUAAGUCAUUAGACUCAUAAUCUAAAAAUAGAUUUCUUCUUUUAA